CAGUCGCCGCGGGAAUACAGAGGGUGCGAGCGUUAAUCGGAUUUACUGGGCGUAAAGCGUGCGUAGGCGGCUUUUUAAGUCGGAUGUGAAAUCCCUGAGCUUAACUUAGGAAUUGCAUUCGAUACUGGGAAGCUAGAGUAUGGGAGAGGAUGGUAGAAUUCCAGGUGUAGCGGUGAAAUGCGUAGAGAUCUGGAGGAAUACCGAUGGCGAAGGCAGCCAUCUGGCCUAAUACUGACGCUGAGGUACGAAAGCAUGGGGAUCAAACAGGAUUAGAUACCCCUGUAGUCCCUGUCUCUUAUAC
rnacentral:rRNA from 1 species